UACGAAGGGGGCUAGCGUUGCUCGGAAUCACUGGGCGUAAAGGGUGCGUAGGCGGGUCUUAAGUCAGGGGUGAAAUCCUGGAGCUCAACUCCAGAACUGCCUUUGAUACUGAGGAUCUUGAGUUCGGGAGAGGUGAGUGGAACUGCGAGUGUAGAGGUGAAAUCGUAGAUAUUCGCAAGAACACCAGUGGCGAAGGCGGCUCACUGGCCCGGUACUGACGCUGAGGUGCG
rnacentral:rRNA from 1 species